GAUGAAGAACGUAGCGAAAUGCGAUAAGUAGUGUGAAUUGCAGAAUUCAGUGAAUCAUCGAAUCUUUGAACGCACAUUGCGCCCCUUGGUAUUCCGAGGGGCAUGCCUGUUCGAGCGUCAUUUCAACCCUCAAGCACAGCUUGGUCUUGGGCUUCGCCGCUAACCCGGCGGGUCUUAAAAUCAGUGGCGGUGCCGUCGGGCCCUGAGCGCAGUAAUCUCUCUCGCUAUAGGGUCCCGGUGGAUGCUGGCCAGUAACCCCCAAUUUUCUAUGGUUGACCUCGGAUCAGGUAGGGAUACCCGCUGAACUUAAGCAUAUCAAUAAGCGGAGGA
rnacentral:misc_RNA from 1 species